rnacentral:rRNA from 2 species
UAGGGAAUCUUCGGCAAUGGACGAAAGUCUGACCGAGCAACGCCGCGUGAGUGAAGAAGGUUUUCGGAUCGUAAAACUCUGUUGUUAGAGAAGAACAAGGACGUUAGUAACUGAACGUCCCCUGACGGUAUCUAACCAGAAAGCCACGGCUAACUACGUGCCAGCAGCCGCGGUAAUACGUAGGUGGCAAGCGUUGUCCGGAUUUAUUGGGCGUAAAGCGAGCGCAGGCGGUUUCUUAAGUCUGAUGUGAAAGCCCCCGGCUCAACCGGGGAGGGUCAUUGGAAACUGGGAGACUUGAGUGCAGAAGAGGAGAGUGGAAUUCCAUGUGUAUCGGUGAAAUGCGUAGAUAUAUGGAGGAACACCAGUGGCGAAGGCGGCUCUCUGGUCUGUAACUGACGCUGAGGCUCGAAAGCGUGGGGAGCAAACAGG